AUUGAACGCUGGCGGCAGGCUUAACACAUGCAAGUCGAGCGGGGGAGGUUGCUUCGGUAACUGACCUAGCGGCGGACGGGUGAGUAAUGCUUAGGAAUCUGCCUAUUAGUGGGGGACAACAUUCCGAAAGAGAUGCUAAUACCGCAUACGCCCUACGGGGGAAAGCAGGGGAUCUUCGGACCUUGCGCUAAUAGAUGAGCCUAAGUCGGAUUAGCUAGUUGGUGGGGUAAAGGCCUACCAAGGGGACGGUCUGUAGCGGGUCUGAGAGGCUGAUCCCCCACACUGGGACUGAGACACGGCCCAGACUCCGACGGGAGGCAGCAGUGGGGAAUAUUGGACAAUGGGCGGAAGCCUGAUCCAGCCAUGCCGCGUGUGUGAAGAAGGCCUUUUGGUUGUAAAGCACUUUAAGCGAGGAGGAGGCUCUUAAGGUUAAUACCCUUGAUGAGUGGACGUUACUCGCAGAAUAAGCACCGGCUAACUCUGUGCCAGCCGCCGCGGUAACAC
rnacentral:rRNA from 1 species